rnacentral:rRNA from 1 species
CCUACGGGCGGCAGCAGUGAGGAAUAUUGGUCAAUGGACGAGAGUCUGAACCAGCCAAGUAGCGUGAAGGAUGACUGCCCUAUGGGUUGUAAACUUCUUUUAUAUGGGAAUAAAACGUUCCACGUGUGGGAUUUUGUAUGUACCAUAUGAAUAAGGAUCGGCUAACUCCGUGCCAGCAGCCGCGGUAAUACGGAGGUUCCGAGCGUUAUCCGGAUUUAUUGGGUUUAAAGGGAGCGUAGGUGGAUUGUUAAGUCAGUUGUGAAAGUUUGCGGCUCAACCGUAAAAUUGCAGUUGAAACUGGCAGUCUUGAGUACAGUAGAGGUGGGCGGAAUUCGUGGUGUAGCGGUGAAAUGCUUAGAUAUCACGAAGAACUCCGAUUGCGAAGGCAGUUCACUGGACUGCAACUGACACUGAGGCUCGAAAGUGUGGGUAUCAAACAGGAGUAGAUACCCCAGUAGUC